AAUCGUCCGGGUUUGGCUGGGGUAGGCCGUCAUUGUAAAUAAGAAUUGGUUCUUAGCUGACUUGCCUAGUUUAAAAAAAAUUAAAAGACAGGAUUUUCAAGCAAUAACAGGUUAGUUUAAUGUCUUAAUGUAAAAAGUGUAUGAAUUUGUAAAUUAUUGAAGAUAUUUAUGUUGCUGUACUUCUUUACCUGAAGAGACUAUGUGGCUAAACACCUGUGUUGCCAGCUUCACUCACAUGUUUGUGAAGGGUGGCAGAUUGUGUUUGUUCGUCAGCUUUGGUGACUUCCUGAUUGUGUGCCAUCUUGUAAAACAACACCAGAUGGUCUCAAAUUAUUUCAUCUCUGAUCUGGUGAGUUAAAAUGAAUGACAGUCAAUUUUUAUUGUUAAAGAAUUAUAUUUUAUAUUUUCCAUUUAAUAAUCUUUGAAUCUACCUUUAUUCCAUGACGCUUGAAGUUGUUCCGCACUGAUUUUACCAAGUUUUGAACAUCAAAGAUGAUGGGGAUUUUGUAGUCUUCAACUGUGAUGCAGUGUGCACCGUCAGUGUGUUCCUCAGCAUUUAGACUUGCCCCAAGGAGUUUCAUAGACUUCAUAUUACAGCGUGACUGGUCACACACAACAUUGUUGACCUGUCGCAUUUAAAGUAAUUACUGUAAAUUCCAAAUAUAUAGUAGUGAUGAAACUGGACUAUUGUGUAUAGACAUUGUUACUUAGUCAGUCCUAUGCUUUUUAGUCUCUUUAUUGCCUCAGCCACAAUAUCAGCAGUCUCUUGGGCUGGAGUUGCCGAUUUAGCCAGGAAAUAGCCAAAUGCCUGCGUGGGAGACGUAAACAAGGCAGGGACCUCCUUCAAUUGGAUGAUGGCCUCCUCCUGCAUGACAUCUGUGCUACAUGCUGCUUGCUUUGACACCUGAGCUUCCUGUAUGCUCAUAAGGACGCCUUCUUCUGUCACCUGAGCCGCCUCCUGUAUGCUUGUGAGGAUGCCUCCUGCCACCUCUGUCACCUAACAGACCACCUCCUGCAGACCACCUGAACUAAAUUCAGCAUCUGCUGCUUCCUCUACUGGAGCUGGGUCUACGCUCUCCUUCACUCUCUUGUUCUCUCUGUCUGUCUCACCUAAAACUCCCAUAUCUGCUUCCCUGUCUCUCCUUCAAAAAUAGACAAUUCAAGACUUUAAACCUGUUGUAUUAAUAUAAAACAAUAACGAUGCAUCUUUAAUCGCUACGUAUUUUGUAGUUUGCUUACUUCUAUUUCUACAACGCUGUGCAUCUGUUGCAGAUUGAGGGGGUGGAUUCAUGCAAUUUAUUCUGGUAGGUACUGCCUCGGAGGACAGUGUCUUCUGUGAACCCUGUUGAAAGAGACAUUUUUACCAGAAUUUUUUGCAAUUCAUUCCAGUCAUUGGCAGAGAACUGGAAGGAAAGGUGACCAAAGGGGGUGUUGGCUUAUCCAAGCCUUGGAAUGACUGAUGAUUGAACAUGAUCACAGCUUUGCAUUUUCAAAGUAAAAAUGUAAUGAAAUCAACAUGAAACAUCUACAAUGUAAAAAAUAAUAACCCUUGUUUUGCCAACCCCACAUCCUCCACUUCUCCAUCCCCUGAACGACUAAAAAAAGCAUGACAAAAACAGUACCAAUGCCCUUCGGCUACACAAACAAGUCCUCACAAUCUUGCAGGAGGAUCCCUCAAGGGUCUGUUCUUUUCCUCGAGGGGGCGGGUGUUUUGAUCGAACAAACCUCGAAAAACAGCGUUCUGUAUCUCAGGGAAGCUGGUGACUGAGGAAUGAAUGGUGUACUUCCAGGAGUUAGACGGCCUUAUGGUGGAAUCACAAGGGGGACAACUUGGCUUGCCAACAACUAGCUACAGCUGUUUAUAUAUAGAUACUUAUGAUGAAUAUAUAUAUAUAUUCUCUUUUUUAAAUUUGAUUUAUCUUUCUUUCUGGCAGUAGUAAAUAUUUGAGGAUAUGAACUCUAUGGCAAUACAUCAGGAAUCAUUCCUUUUCCUUUCUACAUUCGUGCCCUCUCAAGUUCGUUGACAUUCUCUCCCCAUGUACUAACUCCAUCUAGUGCAGGAGUGUCAAACUCAUUUUGCCCCGGGGGCCGCAUUCUGUCUUCAACGAGGUCCAGAGGGCCGCAUUGAAAAUAUGUUAUUUCCUCACCGUCAUUUUUUUUGUUGAAUUUCUGAUGCUCCCUGACUGUCUGGCUUUCAUUUUGGUGAUUUAUUAGCGAGCUAGACACAGUCAAGAAACUGUGAAUGUAGGUCCAUUAUCAUUUCAACACAGUGUAGAUUUUAUUUUUGUCAUUUUAAAGUAUAUUGAGGGUUUUUUCACCUACGGGCCAGAUGUUUGACACCCCUGGACUAGUGUAUGUUUAUCUGCUCAAGAUGACCAGAAGAGGGACCCAAGAAGUCUGCAUUUGCAAGAUAGACAAAGGUGGAGUCGAGGAAGAGGACUUGUCACCAUGUUUAUAAUUUUCCCUUGUGGCAUUUAUGAACAAAUGUAUGUGUUUUGAUUUGUUUUUCAGGUGAUUGGGUAACAUGCUAAGGCGCUUUAAUGAGAGGUUUUAUUGAGUGCUAAAUUUGGUUUAGGAAACAAAAUGUAAUACCAGGUUAGAUUAUGUCCAGUGGUGGUGUUAAAUAGGAGAGAAUAAUUGUCUUGUUUCUGCCUUUAAUUGAAAGGUUCAUUCCCCAUUCAGUGCCACAUCAUUUUAAACUAAAUAAGCAGAUGUUUGGAUAAGUACCUAAAAGAAUAUCUCUAUCUUUCACUUGAGCAUAUGAAUCAUAUGACUGUGGAUAUUCUUCAGCGAACCCAUUAUGUGAAAUAUUGUCAGCUAAAGACAGAUCUAUUCCUUUUCCCCUCAGAAGACGUUUUAUCAGUAAGCAAGGCCAGGUAAUACAGUACAUGAAUUUACAUUUUGGUUAUUGGAAAGGAAUUGUGACCAAAACCAUUUGUAGCGAUAGAGCACAUUCCUGCUGAAUACACGCACGCAAUGAUUGCCUGUGGUGAGAAACUCAACAAGUUCACUUAACCGUAAUGUAAAGGUGGAGUAUCAUCCUUUUAUCUCUAAAGUAGAUAAAUACUGUAUCUUCUUAUAUAAUAGAAUUUACAGAGGUUACAAACUCAAGCCAUUUUUCUUUUCAUGUUAUGACUUUGUAAAUUAAUAUUGAAUCAAGGCCUUGCCAUACAUUUCAGUAUCGCUUCAAAAGAACAAUCGGAACAAAAUGUAUUUUUUAUUUACUUUGAAUCAUAACCAUUGAUUGUAUUAGAUUUUCAUUUUUAUUGAUGCAUAAUAUUAAAUCUCCAUGAGUUUCC